UGGGGAAUAUUGCACAAUGGGGGAAACCCUGAUGCAGCGACGCCGCGUGAAGGAAGAAGGUCUUCGGAUUGUAAACUUCUGUCGACAGGGAAGAGAAAGGACAGUACCUGUGGAGGAAGCCACGGCUAACUACGUGCCAGCAGCCGCGGUAAUACGUAGGUGGCGAGCGUUGUCCGGAAUUACUGGGUGUAAAGGGCGCGUAGGCGGUCAAUUAAGUUGCAUGUGAAAACCCAUGGCUCAACUGUGGGAAUGCAAGCAAAACUGGUUGACUUGAGUACAGGAGAGGUAAGUGGAAUUCCUAGUGUAGCAGUGAAAUGCGUAGAUAUUAGGAGGAACACCAGUGGCGAAGGCGACUUACUGGACUGAAACUGACGCUGAGGCGCGAAAGUGUGGGUAGCAAACAGG
rnacentral:rRNA from 1 species